rnacentral:lncRNA from 1 species
GCUCAAUUAUUUAUGUGUGCAAAUUAGAAUGUCAUACAUAAAUGAUCAAUUAUUUGUGUACAAAUUAAGUUGUUUAUUUGUGGAUAAAAAUCUGAUUUGUACAUCAUAAGGCACCACCAACCAUGAGCUGAUCUAGAUGGUAUCAUCCCUUCAACAAAAAAAGAGAUGAUAUCACUUUAACUUUGCACCACAAUGAUCAGGAGAUCAAAUUUCAGCAAUACUGCAAACAAUAUAAGCAGAGCAGAGUUCCAAAGUGCACUUAAUUCAAAAUGAUAGUACCUCACCAAACAGAGCAGCAGCUUAACAAAAGUUCACAUAGCAGAAGCUGAACAAAAACAACUAAAGCAAAUAUUGACAGAAAAAAAGAUCAGAAGAAGAAGACAAAACAUCUUAACACAGAGUAAACAAAUAUUGACAGAAAUAACAACGUAUCAUAAAUGAUUCUUAUCAUAAGGAAAACUCCACCAAAACAGAAGCAAUAACUAUAUAACAUAGCAGCAUAUUAACCACUGACAUCAAUGCUAAUGAAGUGCUCAAUACAUAAGGUUCCACCUUUGACAUUACCAAUUUAUGUUGUAAAUACAAAACUUAAUCAAAUACCAAAAAGACAUUUUUAGCAUAAAACCAUCAAACAGAAACAUCAAAGCAGUCUUUUAUCAUUACAAGUUCAAAUGGUAAUAAUUCAGUCACACAAAUACAUUUAAGGUGAUAUCCCAAAAACAAAAUUCACUAAAAUUACAUCGGAGAAUGGAAAGGAAAAACCAAAACAGAAAAUAAAAGGAGUACAAUUAUAUACUUGUUAGUUAUCUUUGAGUCAAAUUAUCAAACAUUUAGAAGACAAAAAUGGAGGAUACUCUAGCAAAGCAAACAAAAACCCAAGCAAUUAAUGAAAUUAAACAUGGAAUUGAAAGAGUAGAGCAUACAUACAUAUACACAUGGAAUGAAAAUGAUAAAUCGAUAUUCAAACAGUCCAUUCUGAGAAUUUAAAGCUAGAUUCAAGUGCUAAUUAUGGUAUGUAGAUCAAUUAGGUAUGAGAACGAGAUUGGUGGAGAUAUUGAACGAGAAUGAUGAAGAGAACCAGAUUGAUAAUACCUUUAUUCUCCUUCAGCGAUUUGCUCGAUCAAUUGGAUAUGAGAACGAGAUUGGUGAUAACUUGCUUCUUCGAUCGGUGGGAGAAAGGUAGGGAUAAAAGGUACCAUGGUGUUUAAAGAAUUCUAUAUAAAAUAAAAUUAUUACCGAU